AACGAACGCUGGCGGCAUGCCUAACACAUGCAAGUCGAACGAGACCUUCGGGUCUAGUGGCGCACGGGUGCGUAACGCGUGGGAACCUGCCCUUAGGUUCGGAAUAACUCCCCGAAAGGGGUGCUAAUACCGGAUAAUGUCUUCGGACCAAAGAUUUAUCGCCUUUGGUUGGGCCCGCGUUGGAUUAGCUAGUUGGUAGGGUAAAAGCCUACCAAGGCGACGAUCCAUAGCUGGUCUGAGAGGAUGAUCAGCCACACUGGGACUGGGACACGGCCCAGACUCCUACGGGAGGCAGCAGUGGGGAAUAUAGGACAAUGGGCGAAAGCCUGAUCCAGCAAUGCCGCGUGAGUGAUGAAGUCCUUAGGGUUGUAAAGCUCUUUUACCCGGGAUGAUAAUGACAGUACCGGGAGAAUAAGCUCCGGCUAACUCCGUG
rnacentral:rRNA from 1 species